rnacentral:tRNA from 1 species
GGCGACGUAGCCAAGCGGAAAGGCACUCGGCUGCAACCCGGGGAGCGCGGGUUCAAAUCCCGCCGUCGCCU